rnacentral:ncRNA from 1 species
CAUACUCUUCGCCACCUGUAGCUGUAGGUGGUUACAAGGGUUGGGCUGUUCGCCCAUUAAUGUGGUACGUGAGCUGGGUUCAGAACGUCGUGAGACAGUUC